UCGACACCAACCGUUGUGUUCUAAAGGGUGAAGAGCUGGUUGGCUUCUUUGGAUUCUUCUGGUAGCAGGAAUCGGUUUUGCCCGAACCGUCCGCGGUGGCUGACCUUAUUAAGGGACCGGGACAUCUUUCCGGGGAGGCACAGCUUGGGGCUUAUAAUUGGUGCGCAUCGUCAGGGCAGGCGCAAAAGCACGGUCUACGGCCGAGCUAAUACAACGUCUUGAUUAGCAUCGAAUGUGCUGCGCUUGCUGGGCAUGGGAAGCCGCACGGCAGGUUCUGGGAAGAUCGACGCUUCUAAUCUGGGAAGAUGCAGUGCAAAAGGAAGCCAUGAAGUCGGCGCAGUUGUAGCAGUCGAGGUGAAUGAAUUGAACUGUGAACUUAGAAGCGGAAGAAGUGAUUCAACCAAAUGCCAUUGCCCAUUUAAAAGCUUGAAUGGUGAGAAAACUGAACCCCGCUAACGGUUAGAGCCGAGCUGUGAUUGAGCUUUUGGGUGGAAAAGAGCAAACAGAAGAAAAAACAAAACAACACAACUUUAAUGCUUCUGUGGUUCGUUUGUCAAAUUUUCACAUCAUUCUGUGUACUACAGUUCCCUCAAAAUGAUUCCUCACCGGAGAAGCCGGCGUGGAAGUUGGACUGGCGGGCCGGCCGGGUCCAACCAUAAUUGUUGGUUUUGCCGCCGCAAACCGCACACCGGGAGCGAGAACGCGAACGACUGGAGAAAACACAGCCGCAGUCGCAGUUUACACCCACUCCGAGUGAAGAUCUUCAUGACGAUCUUCAUGUGACUUGUGUCGCGAAAACGCAUCUUGCUUAUCUAUCGUGGUGCGCUGGUGAAAGUGUAGUGCAAACAGAAGCGAAGACAUUUUAAAACGCACUCCUAAUUCGCAGAUCUAUGAAUGAUACAUUUGGUCUAAUGAAGAAUGAUACUUUACACAGU